rnacentral:rRNA from 1 species
CCUACGGGUGGCAGCAGUGGGGAAUAUUGCACAAUGGGGGAAACCCUGAUGCAGCGACGCCGCGUGAGUGAAGCCGUAAUUCGGGAUGUAAAGCUCUAUCAGCAGGGAAGAAAAUGACGGUACCUGUGUAAGAAGCCCCGGUUAACUACGUGCCAGCACGCGCGGUAACACGGAGGGGGCAAGCGUUAUCCGGAUUUACUGGGUGUAAAGGGAGCGUAUACGGCAUUGUAAGUCAGAGGUGAAAGGCGGGGGCUCAACCCCCGGACUGCUCUGGAAACUGUACGGCUGGAGUGCAGGGGAGGUAAGUGGAAUUCCUGGUGUAGCGGUGAAAUGCGUAGAGAUUA